UGGGGAAUAUUGCACAAUGGGCGAAAGCCUGAUGCAGCAACGCCGCGUGAGUGAUGAAGGUCUUCGGAUUGUAAAGCUCUGUCUUUUGGGACGAUAAUGACGGUACCAAAGGAGGAAGCCACGGCUAACUACGUGCCAGCAGCCGCGGUAAUACGUAGGUGGCGAGCGUUGUCCGGAUUUACUGGGCGUAAAGGGUGCGUAGGCGGAUGUUUAAGUGAGAUGUGAAAUACCCGGGCUUAACUUGGGUGCUGCAUUUCAAACUGGAUAUCUAGAGUGCAGGAGAGGAGAAUGGAAUUCCUAGUGUAGCGGUGAAAUGCGUAGAGAUUAGGAAGAACACCAGUGGCGAAGGCGAUUCUCUGGACUGUAACUGACGCUGAGGCACGAAAGCGUGGGUAGCAAACAGGAUUAGAUACCCUGGUAGUCCACGCCGUAAACGAUGAGUACUAGGUGUAGGAGGUAUCGACCCCUUCUGUGCCGCAGUAAACACAUUAAGUACUCCGCCUGGGAAGUACGAUCGCAAGAUUAGAAC
rnacentral:rRNA from 1 species